AACGAACGCUGGCGGCAUGCCUAACACAUGCAAGUCGAACGAUUGCCUUCGGGUGAUAGUGGCGCACGGGUGCGUAACGCGUGGGAAUCUGCCCUUAGGUUCGGAAUAACAGCUGGAAACGGCUGCUAAUACCGGAUGAUAUCGCGAGAUCAAAGAUUUAUCGCCUGAGGAUGAGCCCGCGUUGGAUUAGGUAGUUGGUGGGGUAAAGGCCUACCAAGCCGACGAUCCAUAGCUGGUCUGAGAGGAUGAUCAGCCACACUGGGACUGAGACACGGCCCAGAUUCCUCCGGGAGGCAGCAGUGGGAAAUAUUGGACAAUGGGCGAAAGCCUGAUCCAGAAAUGCCGCGUGAGUGAUGAAGGCCCUAGGGUUGUAAAGCUCUUUACCCGGGAAGAUAAUGACUGUACCGGGAGAAUAAGCCCCGGCUAACUCCGUG
rnacentral:rRNA from 1 species